rnacentral:rRNA from 1 species
UUGACCUCGGAUCAGGUAGGGUUACCCGCUGAACUUAAGCAUAUCAAUAAGCGGAGGAAAAGAAACCAACAGGGAUUGCCCUAGUAACGGCGAGUGAAGCGGCAACAGCUCAAAUUUGAAAUCUGGUCCUUCGGGGCCCGAGUUGUAAUUUGCAGAGGAUGCUUUUGGCGCGGUGCCUUCCGAGUGCCCUGGAACGGGACGCCACAGAGGGUGAGAGCCCCGUAUGGUUGGACACCAAGCCUAUGUAAAGCUCCUUCGACGAGUCGAGUAGUUUGGGAAUGCUGCUCAAAAUGGGAGGUAAACCCCUUCUAAAGCUAAAUACUGGCCAGAGACCGAUAGCGCACAAGUAGAGUGAUCGAAAGAUGAAAAGCACUUUGAAAAGAGAGUUAAAAAGCACGUGAAAUUGUUGAAAGGGAAGCGUUUGCGACCAGACUUGCGCCCGUCGAAUCAACCGUCCCUCGUGGGCGGUGCACUUCGGCGGGCUCAGGCCAGCAUCAGUUUACUGUAGGGGGAGAAAGGCGCUGGGAAUGUGGCUCUUCGGAGUGUUAUAGCCCGGCGCGUAAUACCCCUCGGUGGACUGAGGACCGCGCGAA